AACGAACGCUGGCGGCAUGCCUAACACAUGCAAGUCGAACGAGACCUUCGGGUCUAGUGGCGCACGGGUGCGUAACGCGGGGGAACCUGCCCUUAGGUUCGGUGUCACUCCCCGUAAGGGGUCCUCAUGCCGCUUGAUCUAUUCCCACAAAGGAUCUAUCGCUUUGGGAUGGGCCCGUGUUGGUUUCGCUGGUUGGUAGGGGAAAAGCAUCCCAUGGCGAGGUUCCAUAGCUGGUGGGUGAGGAUGACCCGCUACGCUUGGACUGCGACACGGCCCAGACUCCUACGGGAGGCAGCAGUAGGGUAUAUUAGGCGAGGAGCGAUAGCCUGACCCAGCAAUGCCGCGGGUGAGAGCAAGGGCGUUGUGUUGUAAAGCUGUUUUAGCCGGGGCGAUAAUGACAGUACCGGGUGAAUAAGCACCGGCUAACUACGUG
rnacentral:rRNA from 1 species